UCUUUGCGACGAUGGGCUAGCCUUAGUGCCAUUCAUAUCUCGUAGGCGUUUCUGGUUUUCUUGAAGGACCCCGGCCCGCGAUUGGUUGGUGAUGGAACCUGUGGGUUUGGAGCUGAGCUGUGGUUUUGCGCCCCGCAGUGCGGACCCCUCCGGGCGGGCUGGGGUGUUCCUGGAGUGGGAUGGGCUAGGCUGGGGUUAUUUGUACAGUGCCCUAGGGAUGAGGGCUUCGCCUCUGGAAAAAGCUCGCUAUUUUGUGUUUCUGAGAUCAGAGUUUUAUCUUCUUUAAAAAAAGGAAAAUGACUGACAGGAUGACAAGCAAACAAGAUGCAGGUUCAUAGUCCUUGGGCAGGCAGCCAUAUCUCCUCAGCUAUAGAACUCAAGAUUUUUCUUCUAAACACAAAGUCAGAGCUGGUGGUUUUACAACCAGCGCACCCCAAUCCCCCCCCCACACACACACACCCCCCACCCCGCCCCAGCCCAAAAUCUGAAUGGAGAUGCCAUGUGUUUGAGGGUUUGUAAGCAUCGUGUAGCCCGUUUAUGUGAGGCAGCCUCUUAGUAUGUACAGCGUCCUCAGGCUUUAAGGAGUCAGUAUCUUAUAAUCCUGCUUGGGCCAGAUCCCACCCUCUGGGCAGGAUUCGUUAAAGGGGUGGUUUGAACCCUAACAAUCACAGUCUACCUGGCCAAGCUUUACCCGGAGAAUCAGGCAAAGCAAGCUUAAUUUCCUUUAAGCAAAUCUCACCUUUUUUCAUUACUUCCUAGUUCAAUCCAAAGACGCUCUAGGCAGACGACAGGAAUAACUGAAAACCUAAAACCUAAACCUAAAAUGAAUGGGAAAAGAAAAAGACGUGGCUCUCACCCACUGCCCAGAUUUUAGAAAUCUUGGGUUCUUUUGGCAAGGGACAUGAGGAAAAGGAAAGGAACACCACACUUCUUAGUUUUAAUCGAUUUGUUUGAGGGGAGGGGUCUGGGGACAAGGUGAGAAAUUUAAAUUCUCUUGAGACUGUCCCUGGGCAAGAAUCAGAGAGUGUUAAAUACUCGUGGGGCCUAGGAUCUAGUUCUGGCCCUUUCUUUUAAAAAUGACACUGUUAAUUGACUUGGCUCAGUAUGGCAUCAGCUACUUAAGGGCAGAGCUAGGACUAGAACCCAGGUCUUCUGACUUACAGAUCUUGGGUUCCUUCUAUGCAAUCUGCCCACCCUUAGCAAUAAAACUUGAGCUCUAAGUGAGCACACAAAAAGAAUUAAACCUCUAUUUAAUUACCAAAAUAAUUAAACUUUCUACAUUUAAUCUCCAAAAGAAAUUUUAAUUUCCAAAUUGAAAGUCUUUAAUUUCCAAAAGACAAAAGAUGUUUUGAACAUCGUAGACCUACGACAAGGCUGUUUUCUCUGAAAUUGCCCCAACCUGAACCCUUUUUCCUCAUUCUUCCAGGUGUGUUCUUGCUGUGCUAUUGUUCACUCCCUUUUUCCCCUCCUACCACUACUGGAAAUCUAUGAUUUCUAUCUAUGAUUCUGCUUUUCCAGAUUCAUCACCAAGGACUUCUGUGCCAGCACGACAGGCCUGAGCAGGCCUUUAUUAAAAAUAGUAAUGGCUGAAAAGCAUCAAGUUAGCUAUGUGCCAGGUAUUGUUCUAUGCCUGCGUUGUAGGUUAACUCAGUUGAUCACACAGCACCCUUAUGAGAGUGUUAUUAUCCCUGUGUCUUACCUCUAUUAGGAAACUGAGGCACAAGGAGUUUAACUUGCCCAGGUUCACACUGCUAAGAAGUAUUGGAACCAGGGUUAAGCCCAGGUAAUCUGGCUCCAGACCCAUUCCCUUCUGCCUCUCCCGGUUUCUUGUUGAAGACUGCCCGCUUGCCAGACAGGUUCAAUGGAUCUUCUGUUGAGUGGAGCUGUCUGAUUUGCCAGUGGCUCCCUCCCAUACCACAUUGAAGUGUUCUACCUUCAGAAUUGGGCCUCCCUCCAAUUGGAAAAUGUCAGAUGCAUUCUAACUUAAUUCCCAGACUGGACCCCACCCAUUGCUGUCCACCUCCUGGCGUGCCACCUGGGAAGCAUCUAGCUCUCUUGUCUUAUUCCUUCUUUGACUGUGGACCCCCACAGUUCAACUCUGGAGUGUCUCCCUUUAAUGAAGAUACACCUUGGGUGGCUUACCCAAAAAAGCUUCCUUCUCCCAAGCUUAGAUCCCACACAACAUCCUCCUCAGAGAAUGCCCUUAAAUGUCACAUUUAAACUUUAUUCCCUAUCACACAUGACAGCCAGGAUUUCUUUUGCCAUAUCUAUACCAUGUCUUUAGCUAGACGAGCUCUGUCCUAAAUUAAAAGCACCUGACACCUGGCAGACCACAUCCUAUCCUUUCCACAAUUCCUUUUUGUGCUAAGAGAUCUGCCAAUGAACCAACCGAGAGGCGAUCCCUCCCUCCCGGAAUCACAGUGGCUCCUAUUACUGCUGUUUCUUUGCAGGCAAAAAUGAAGAGCCAAGCUCUUAGCCUUGGCUCACUUAGAGGAAGGGCAUCUGUGUGUGCUCCGAGUAGUUCUGUUCCUAUUUACUUAUGUCCAGAAGAAAAUCUGGAUGGGCAGAGAAUAUUUCUGGAAAGAUACAAGGACCAGGUUGCCUCCGAGGAGACCUCAGAGAAAGGUGGAGAAUGGCAUGGGAAGAGCACUUUUCACUCUACACCUUUGUGACUUUUGAAUUUUGAACCAUGUGAAUGUAUUACCUUUUUAAAUGAAAGAUAGAAAAGAAAAGAAACUAAACUCAAAUAAUCUGCUGAGCUAAAAGCUGACACUAUUGGAGAGGAAGGUAACUUUUUUCAAACUUUUCAAUUGUCCAUGUCAUCUGCAUUUGUUACAGUAAAUACGUGUAACUUUUUUUUUUAACAAAAUAAAGGUCACACAGCACUCAGUACCUCCGGGGAUGUGAACAGCACCUGAAACGGCCCUGGUUUGUGAUAAGGAUUCCUGGUAGGUAAAACGGGGGCAGCAGCUUCCAUUCCCAACGUAACAUGGCCUCACACACUGCAGAACAGGGCUUCCCGCUUCCCCUGGGCUCUCUGCUUCCCUGAAGAUUCUUAGGUCUGUUUCCCCCAUUUCUGUCCUCCUGUAGCAAUUAAAGAAGCAGAGAGACUAGUGGGGUCUGCUUUUCUCCCUUUUUCCCAUCCUCUGUGUCCACCUUUGCUGGGGGUGGUUCCCUUAAGUGGUCAGCCCCACUCAUCGUGGCUGCUCAGCUGAAACCCAGGAUGACCUUGACUCAAGUCAGAGACACCAUUUUCAAAUACAGGCCUUUCCAGAUCCCUGCAGCUCUGCUCCUGCUCUUUGCAGUUUCUUUGGCUGCUCAUACUCUGCAUGACUUACACACAGAUUCUGUCCUAUUUCUGUAUAGACCCGGCUCCUUUUACAUGUGUGGCAGUCUUUCUUUCCUUUUCCCAGGGUGUAUCACACACAGGGUUGAAGCUCACUUGAUACUCAAAAUAUUGUUUCCAAACACAGUUACUGAGCUUCUUCCAUGUGCCUGGUCCUAUUUGAGAAGCUGGGGAUCCUGCGUGGACUGGGGUACCUGUUCUCAUGGAACUUAAAUUCUGAUGGGGCAGAAGUCCAUAAAUAAGAAAAUAACAGGUAGUAAUAAGAGCUAUAAUGCUGGGGGCCUAAUUUCGGUUGAGUGGUCAGGAAAGGCUUCUCUGAGGAGGUGACAUUUCAGUUGAAACAGGAAGGACACAAUGGAGGCAGCUAUGUGUAUAUCUGCACAUGAAUUCCAAGCUAAGAUGGCAGAUGGUCUGCAUGCAACUAAUUUUGCUCCAUCCCAAAACUGCACUAAACAGAUUUUCUUUCCUUUUUCUUUCUUUCUUUCUUUUUUUUUCUUAAGUCAUAAACUCAUAAGGAAAGGAGAGUAGGAAAAGAGAAAAGAGCAUCACAAUUUCAGAAGCUGGAAAAUAGAUGGAUGAGUGGUAACUGAUUUAGCAGAUCUGCGAAAGCUGAGAUCCAACCCAGCUUAUACUGGAAAUACUUCAGAAGGUCCGGAAACUGCCAGAACCAGGGGCCAUCAGGACUGAGGGUGGAGGAGAAGGCUAAAAUAAGGAGAACUGAGGGAAAGCAAUUUGAGAAGCAGUUAGAUCCCACAUCCCAUCCCUGAUCCCAGCAGAAGGGUGGAGGUUUAUCCUACAAGGAGCAUCUCUGGUCCAGAAGAUGCCAGGCACAUUGAGGGCAUGGGUACCACAUUGGAAAUGGGGGAACCUAGAGGCCAAAUGCACAUCGAAUGUGGAGACUACAACUGUCUUGCCCCAUUUGGCUUUCAGAAUGCUGGCAAUGUGACCUUCACCUCUUAGGUAGGAGAUUGGAAGACUCUUCUUGAGGAAUCUAAUCAGCCUAGGAGGAAAGACCCACAGAGGCUGACACUUGGGGAUCUCCCAACAAUGGUCCAACCAGUAGUUGCUCUUCAGUGAAGCAAUCUACCAGACACCUUUUGUGCACCACUUCUAAUCCUCUUGCUCUACCCACAUUUGCAGCUACUGUUCCAUCAAGUUCCAUACAGCUUCCCAGAGCAAGUGUUAAUUUUAUGUGUCAACUUCACUAGGCCACAGGAUGCUCAGACAGUAAUCAUUAUUUCUAGAUGUGUCUGUGAGAGUGUUUCUGGAUGAAAUCAGCAUUUGAAUUGGUAGACUGAGCAAAGCAGAUUGCCCUCCCCAAUGUGAGUGGGCCUCAUCCAAUCUGUUGAGGGCCUGAAUAGAACAGAAAGGAGGAGGGAGGGAGAAUUCGGCUCUUUGCCUUACUGUUUUUGAGCUGGGACUUUGGUCUUCUCCUGUACUUGAAUUGGAACUUAUACCAUGGGCUCUUCUGGUUCUCAGGCCUUUGGACUCAAACUGGAACUACCCCACUGGCUCUCCUGGGUCUCUGGUUUGCUGAUGGCAAGUCAUGGGACUUCUCAGCAUAAUUGCAUGAGACAAUUCCUUAUACUAUAUCUAUAUCUCAAUUCCUAUUGUUUCUGUUUUUCUAGGGAUCCCUAGCUAAUGCAGCAAGCAAAGUCUUGCCUCAGCCCUGAAUCUUGCUGUCUGUCCCAAAACGUCAUUGAUAUCCAUGUGGGUCUGCAGAACCACUCAGCAUCAGCAUUCAGACAUGUGCUACCCAGAAAUUCAGGGAAGAUGAUGUCUGCAGGGCUACUAUUGAGGAGAAGUGCUUCCUUCUUUCAUCUCCUGAGUGAAGAGUUCUGAGACACAUUCCGUAAGACUCAGAAUAUCCUGUGGAUUGGAGCACCAGCCACUGCAGCAAUGGCCAGCUGGGUAACACAUCUCACACUUAUAUUGGCUUUCUCUCUGUCUUUUUUCCCUCUCAGUAUCCCUCAUUCCUACUUCUUAGAUCACUUCCCAAAUGAACUACCCCUGUGUGAGUCUUGGGCUCUGCUUUUGGGGAAGCCAUGGCUAAAACACACAGAAAGGCCCAACCCCACACUCAGCGCUCCCAAACGAGCUUUUGGCUAUAUUCUUCAUCAUGAACAAACGGCUAAUGCCAAACAGCUAAAGAAAGCUUUUCACAUGAAAAAUAAGGACCAAAACCAGCAGAAAAAAAAGCAACUUACUUCAAGGCAAAACAGACCAUGCAGGGAAAAGACAUCAAAUUAAAACUAUUGUCAUAAAUUUUUUAAAAUGUCAUCAGUAUUUUCAAAAGGAAAAUAAAUGAUGUCGCGUCCAUGAAACAAGGAGAUGUUGCCAUAUAAAGAAAUAAUUCAAAGAACCAAGAGGAACUCCUGGAAAUCAAAAACAUAUGGCAGAAAUGGAAAACUCUGCAGAAAGAAUGAGAAAACUGGAGAAGACUCACGGAACGUAAAGCAAAAAGGACAGAGACUUGACAAUAGGAGAGACAGAGGACAAGCCAUGUAAGUUCAACAUCUGAAUGGCAGAAACUCCAGAAACAGAAAACAAAGAUAAUUAAUUGAAAAGAUUCAUCAAUUAAAUAAUUCAAGAAAAUUUCCCAGCAUUGAAGGACACAAUUUCCAGACAGAAAAGGCUGAUCAAGAAAUAAGACCGACAGAUGAAUAUAGACACACACCAAGGCCCAUCAUUGUGAAAUUCUAGCACACAGGGGACAAAGAAAAGAUUCUACAAGCCUCAAGAGGGGAAAAAAGAGUCACAUACAAAGGAGCAGGAACCAACAGCUCAGGCUUCUCAGUGGCAUUAUGGGAAUCAAGAAGACAGGGCAGCAACAUCUUCAAAACGCUAAGAAAAUGAUUUUCAACUCAAAAUUCUAUACCUAGCCAAGUCAUCUGAUAAAUAUGAGAAUAGAAGGAAAACAAUUUUCAUGCAAAAUCUCAAAAAAUGUUAACUCCCAUGCGUGCUUUCUCAAGGAGCUACUGGAGAAUGGAUUCCACAAGGAACUAAACGAGAAAGAGAAAGUCAUAGGAUAGAGGACAGAGGAAAUCCGUUGCAGAAGGCAGGCAAUCAGUAUCUUUGGGUGGAUGGUGCAGGGAGAUCCCAGGAUGUUGACUGCGCCGCAAAUGGCCACCAGUCAGAACUGGAGCAUUGAAACCCAAGAGACAGACAUAUUGAGGAUGGCUUCAUCCAGGAGCUGCCUCCUGUUAUUCCUUCCUUUUUACCUGAGGACUAGAUACCCAGGUGAACCUGACCCUGAUUCUAAUCUGUACAUGACUUAUCUUGGACCAUGCAUUGAUAUAAGUUCCUCUCUCCCCCGUAAGCCUUGCCAUCUAGAUCAGCUGAGGACUCAGUUCUCCUCCCACAGAAAUGGUCUGCUUUGAUCUACUGCUCCACCGUGGUGAGCUUGGAAGCAGAUAAACACAGAGAAGCACACUUCCCCAACCGCAUCACUUACCCGUCCAACACCUGCCUCCUGCUAUUGUCCUACCAAUGUCCUCACUGUGCUGCACCCUGUUGUCCCCAGGAUUCACUCAUGACAUUCCCUAGGAGAGGUUCUGGUAAAUUCCCAGGGAAGCCAAAGUCAGAUUAAAACCUAGGGACCACUCUCUUUGUCUUCUCCGGGGAGCCUUCAUCUAACUCUGGCAAUAUUAUAUCACAGGUGUGCUACACACAUUGGGAAACGAAAGGAUCAGUGAAGCAACAUGCUUUGUGAUUGGGACCCACAGUACCUGUGUCAGUCGCUCCUCCACAUUCGCCUUUAAAGCAGAGACCGCCAGCUCCAGCACAAGACUGCCUUUGCUCCCCACCCUCCAGCUCAAGAGCAAAAGAGCACAGUUGUCAGAGAUAUGUGCUUUGUACAUACAUCUGUUCUCAAUUUAUCUCAGUGUAUUGUGAUUGUUGGCUUAUAUAGCUGCAGUGGGUAUUUGCUAUUUGGCCACUUAAGCAACCUUUACCCUGAUUUUGCUUUGGGGAAACUAUCUUGACUCCUUGGAGACUGUCUGGAGAAACCACUACAGUUUCCCAUCCUUUAGCAGCACAUCAUCAAACUCAGCCACUCAUUCAUCCCUCCCUCCCUCCUUCUUCCCUUCUUGAAGUUGAAUCUUAUUAUGCUUUUAAUGUCUGUAUGAUCUGUACUGAUGACACCUUUUUAAUUUAUAUCCUCUCAUUUUUUUUUUUUAUGGAUCAGCCUAGUUAGGGAUUUAUUGACUUCAUUGAUCUUUUCAAGGAUCCAAGUUUGACUUUGUUAAUUUUCUCUAUUGUUUGUUUUCUAUUUCAUUGAUUACUACUCUCAUCCUUAUUGUCUUCUUCUUUCUACUUACCGUAGGUUUUCAUUGCUUUUAAGGUGGAAACUUCAGUCGUUAAUUUUAGUCCUUUCUUCUUUUUCAAUAUCAUCACUGUAUUAGGGUUCCCCAGAAAAAGAGAACCAAUAGGAUAUAUAUUAUAUAGGAAGAGAUUUAUUAUGAGGAAUUGGCUCAUGUGACUAUGGAGGCUGAGAAGUCCCUCAAUCUGCUGUCUGCAAGCUGGAGGCCUAGGAAAACUGGUGGUAUAAUUCCAGUCCAAGUCUGAAGGCCUGAGAACCAAUGGAGCUGAUAAUGUAAGUCUCAGGCCAAGGGCAGGAGAAGACCAAUGUCCCAGCUCAUGUAGGCAGGCAGGAGGCAAAAGGAGUGAAAUUCACCCUCCUUCUCCUUUCAUUCUAUUCAGGCCUUCAAGGGAUUGGAUGAUGCCCACCCACACUGGGGAGGGCAGUCCACUUUACUGAGUCCACUAAUUCAAAUGCUUUGUUAUCCAAAAACACCUUCACAGACACACCCAGAAAUAAUGUUGAAUCUGGGUACCCCUUGGCCGAAUGAAUUUGACAUGUAGAAUUAACCAUUACAAUCACUUAAAGUUAUAAAUUUCCCUCUAAGCACUGCUUCAAAUGCGUCCUAUAAUUUUGGAUAUGCUGUAUUUAUUAUCAUUCAGUUCAAUUGAUUCAGUUAGAAGUAUUUUUAACUUCACUUUUGAUUUCUUCUUUGACUUAUGGAUUAUUUAGAAGUGUGUUAUUUAAUUUCCAAACAUUUCCAGUUUUCCUAGAUAUAUUAUUGCUACUGAUAUCUAAUUUAAUUCCAUGUGAUCACAGAAUGUAUUCUACAUUAUUUCAAUUUUUUUGCUGAGGAAGAUUCGCCCUGAGCUAAAAUCUGUUGCCAAUCUCCCUCUUUUUGUAUGUGAGCCACCACCAGCAUGGCCACUGACAAGUGACGUAGGUCCACACCUGGGAACUGAAGAAGGGCUGCUGAAGCAGAGAGUGCUGAACUUAACCACUAGGCCACUGGGACUGGCCCUAUUUCAAUAAUUUUAAAGUUGUUGGGGCUGUUUUGUUGCCUAACGUAUGUCUACCUUGAUGAAUGUUCCACAUGGACUUGAAAAGAAUGUGCGUUGGGUAGUUGUUAGGUAUAGUGUUACAUAAAUAACAAUUAGGUCAGGGAGGUUCAUAAUGUUAUUCAGAUUAUCUGGGUCUUUGCUGAUCGAUAUCUGAGAGAGAGAGUUCAAAAAAAUCUCCAACUAUAAUUGUGGAAUGGUGGAAUUUUCCUCGUCAAUUUUUGUUUCAUGUGUUUUGAGGAUGUGUUGUUAGGAACACUCACAUUCAUGAAUGUCAUAUCUUCCUGAUGAAUUGACUUCUUUAUCAUUAUGAAGUGUUUGUCCUUUUCUUGAAAUUUACUGCCUUGCUGGAAAUUAACUUGAUGCAAUGGUAGAUUCAGAGGUCACAGAACUGAAAGGCUUAUAGACUACAUUAAAAUGCUUGAUUCACAUAGUUUAUUAAAAUCAAUUUAAGACACACAGUGAGAAGCAAGGGGAAAAGGUAGGACAAUUAAUACACUAAGGGUAGGGUUCAAGGAGGGGUGGAAGUUCCACACUACACAGAUCUGGGCACACCACAUUCACAUGUUCUGUGUCUGUAUCAUCCUUCCCCAGGGAUAGCAGGCUUAUGAAGACCAGGGUUGAGGUUAGAGCAAAGGGGCCCACAGAUAGAAGAUGCCCUGUGGAAUCACACAUACACACUUGAUGAGAGACUCAGGGAAAGUAUGCCUAGCCAGUAGUUAUAGCUUACCAGUUAGACUGCUGAAUGCAUGCAUGUUGUGUUUCUCAUAGAGAGGACAGAUGGGGCCAGAAUGGGCACCACCAGUUGGUGAUCGAAUUAGGCCUUAUGUAUAUUAAGCGAUCACAUGUAUUUAGCUUGUCCUAAACACUUAGUGCCUGUUAUAUAUUUAGCAUCUCCUGUGUCUCAUGCAUGUUUAGUGUGUAAUGAAUAUUAGAUAUCUUUUGGCCUUUCUAUUUUUUUCUAUCUAUGUUUAACACACACAUGCUGUAGUUACUGCCUAUUUAUACUUAAUAUCUCUUAAAAUGUUUCACUUAUGUUUUAAAAAAUUAUUCAUGUACUGUAAUAGAACUGAAUAUUAUCAAAAGCAAAUGCAAAAAGUGUUUUCUGGUAACUUCCAUUGGGUCCUGGAAUAGAACAUGGACACUGGUGGAAAGACUGGAGAAAUCUGAAUAAAGUCUGCAUUUAGUUAAUAAUAAUGUGUCGAUAUUCGUUACUUUGUUUUCACAAAUGUACCAUGUUAUUUAAGAUGUUAAUAUUAAAGUAAACUGUAUUAAGAGUA